GACGUAGGGCGCGAGCGUUGUCCGGAUUGAUUGGGCGUAAAGAGCUCGUAGGCGGCUCGUUGCGUCGGCUGUGAAAAUCUCCGGGCUUAACCCGGAAAGGUCAGCCGAUACUGCGGGGCUAGAGUGCAGAAGGGGCAACUGGAAUUCUCGGUGUAGCGGUGAAAUGCGUAGAUAUCGAGAGGAACACCUGCGGCGAAGGCGGGUUGCUGGGCUGACACUGACGCUGAGGCGCGAAAGCUAGGGGAGCAAACGGG
rnacentral:rRNA from 1 species